rnacentral:rRNA from 1 species
CAGACGGGUGAGUAACGCGUGGUCAACCUACCGUUGGGUGGGGGGAUAACUAGCCGAAAGGUUAGCUAAUACCGCAUACGUCUCCGAGGGGCAUCCCUUGGCGAUAAAAGGAGCAAUCCGCUCGAUGACGGGACCGCGUCCCAUUAGCUAGAUGGUGGGGUAACGGCCUACCAUGGCACCGAUGGGUAGCUGGUUUGAGAGAGCGACCAGCCACACUGGGACUGAGAAACGGCCCAG